UCCAGGUGUGACCACUGCUGAAAACUUGUGC
rnacentral:piRNA from 1 species